CCUACGGGCGGCAGCAGUGAGGAAUAUUGGGCAAUGGGCGCGAGCCUGAACCAGCCAAGCAGCGUGAGGGAUGACUGCCCUACGGGUUGUAAACUUCUUUUGUAAGGGAAUAAAGUCAGGCACGUGUGCCUUUUUGUAUGUACUUUAUGAAUAAGGAUCGGCUAACUCCGUGCCAGCAGCCGCGGUAAUACGGAGGAUCCGAGCGUUAUCCGGAUUUAUUGGGUUUAAAGGGAGCGUAGAUGGGUUGUUAAGUCAGUUGUGAAAGUUCGGGGCUCAACCCGAAAAUUGCAAUUGAUACUGGCAGUCUGGAGUACAGUUGAGGUAGGCGGAAUGCGCGGUGUAGCGGUGAAAUGCUUAGAUAUCACGAAGAACUCCGAUUGCGAAGGCAGCUUACUAAACUGCCACUGACAUUGAGGCUCGAAAGUGUGGGUAGCAAACAGGAUUAGAUACCCGAGUAGUC
rnacentral:rRNA from 1 species